rnacentral:rRNA from 1 species
CACGUAGGCACCAAGCGUUGUCCGGAAUUACUGGGCGUAAAGAGCUCGUAGGUGGUUUGUCGCGUUGUUCGUGAAAACUCACAGCUUAACUGUGGGCGUGCGGGCGAUACGGGCAGACUUGAGUACUGCAGGGGAGACUGGAAUUCCUGGUGUAGCGGUGGAAUGCGCAGAUAUCAGGAGGAACACCGGUGGCGAAGGCGGGUCUCUGGGCAGUAACUGACGCUGAGGAGCGAAAGCGUGGGGAGCGAACAGG